rnacentral:rRNA from 1 species
GGACAACAAUUAGAUCA